rnacentral:misc_RNA from 1 species
AAAAUGCGAUAAGUAAUGUGAAUUGCAGAAUUCAGUGAAUCAUCGAAUCUUUGAACGCACAUUGCGCCCGCCAGUAUUCUGGCGGGCAUGCCUGUUCGAGCGUCAUUUCAACCCUCAAGCUCAGCUUGGUGUUGGGACUCGCGGUAACCCGCGUUCCCCAAAUCGAUUGGCGGUCACGUCGAGCUUCCAUAGCGUAGUAAUCAUACACCUCGUUACUGGUAAUCGUCGCGGCCACGCCGUAAAACCCCAACUUCUGAAUGUUGACCUCGGAUCAGGUAGGAAUACCCGCUGAACUUAAGC